ACAUCUCAACUCUCACGGUCUUCUGUGAUGAGCUUGGACUUUGGAGGUCUUGCUGGAGCCCGUUUUCAGCUCCUCUCAAAUCUAUCAGCUUCCCAGUGUUUGGCGGCACCGCAGGUGUGAUAAAUAUCUGCACUCGUGGUUGUUCGCCAGAUGGGUCCUCUCCUUGUGAAAGGUCCUGCUGGAGCUUAUAGACGUCUCUCCUCGGUGGAGACAGCUGUUUGAA
rnacentral:misc_RNA from 1 species